rnacentral:rRNA from 1 species
GAGAUCGGGAUAACACCUGGAAACAGAUGCUAAUACCGGAUAACAACAGAUGAUGCCUAUCAACUGUUUAAAAGAUGGUUCUGCUAUCACUCUUGGAUGGACCUGCGGUGCAUUAGCUAGUUGGUAGGGUGACGGCCUACCAAGGCGAUGAUGCAUAGCCGAGUUGAGAGACUGAUCGGCCACAUUGGGACUGAGACACGGCCCAAACUCCUACGGGAGGCAGCAGCA